rnacentral:rRNA from 1 species
UACGAGGGGGGGCGAGCGUUGUUCGGAAUUAUUGGGCGUAAAGGGUGCGUAGGCGGUUUGGUAAGUCUGAUGUGAAAUCUAUGGGCUCAACUCAUAGUCUGCAUCGGAAACUGCCGGGCUUGAGUGUGGGAGAGGUGAGUGGAAUUCCUGGUGUAGCGGUGAAAAUGCGUAGAGAUCGGGAGGAACACCAGAGGCGAAGGCGGCGCCUGGGACAGAUACUGACACUCAACUGCGAAAAGCGUGGGGGAGCAAAACAGGAUUAGAUACCCCC